rnacentral:rRNA from 1 species
UGGGGAAUUUUGGACAAUGGGGGCAACCCUGAUCCAGCAAUGCCGCGUGUGUGAAGAAGGCCUUCGGGUUGUAAAGCACUUUUGUCCGGGAAGAAAUCCCCUGCCCUAAUACGGCGGGGGGAUGACGGUACCGGAAGAAUAAGCACCGGCUAACUACGUGCCAGCAGCCGCGGUAAUACGUAGGGUGCGAGCGUUAAUCGGAAUUACUGGGCGUAAAGCGUGCGCAGGCGGUGAUGUAAGACCGAUGUGAAAUCCCCGGGCUCAACCUGGGAACUGCAUUGGUGACUGCAUUGCUCGAGUAUGGCAGAGGGGGGUGGAAUUCCACGUGUAGCAGUGAAAUGCGUAGAGAUGUGGAGGAAUACCGAUGGCGAAGGCAGCCCCCUGGGCCAAUACUGACGCUCAUGCACGAAAGCGUGGGGAGCAAACAGGAUUAGAUACCCUGGUAGUCCACGCCCUAAACGAUGUCAACUAGUUGUUGGGGAUUCAUUUCCUUAGUAACGUAGCUAACGCGUGAAGUUGACCGCCUGGGGAGUACGGUCGCAAGAUUAAAACUCAAAGGAAUUGAC